CUACGGGCCGCUCCAGUGGGGAAUAUUGGACGAUGGGCGCAAGCCUGAUCCAGCAAUGCCGCGUGAGUGAAGACGGCCUUAGGGUUGUAAAACUCUUUCGCUAGGGAAGAUAAUGACUGUACCUAGUAAAGAAGUCCCGGCUAACUCCGUGCCAGCAGCCGCGGUAAUACGGAGGGGACUAGCGUUGUUCGGAAUUACUGGGCGUAAAGAGUUCGUAGGCGGACUGACAAGUUAGAGGUGAAAUCCCAGGGCUCAACCCUGGAACUGCCUUUAAAACUGUCAGUCUAGAGACCGGAAGAGGUUAGGGGAAUACCUAGUGUAGAGGUGAAAUUCGUAGAUAUUAGGUGGAACACCAGUGGCGAAGGCGCCUAACUGGUCCGGUACUGACGCUGAGGAACGAAAGCGUGGGGAGCAAACAGGAUUAGAUACCCCGGUAGUC
rnacentral:rRNA from 1 species